UGCAACAAACCCACUUCGCAGUAAAACUCCCAACUCGGAUUUGGUUCGCAGCCACGGAGACACUAUCUAUCCGGUGUUAAAACAAAACACUUAAGGGAAGAUGCUUUAUUUUUUUUUUGGUUUGGGGGUAGAAUUGAUGGCUAACCUCUCAAUGUUGAACUAGAAAUGGACCUAGUUAUACUUUACUUGAGUAUUUAGUCGAUAGGACAAUCCCUAUGGCCAUGCUAAGGUGGAGGGCCAAAGUGUUGCCAAAUGUCACGUAGCUAAGCUAGUGAGGAGAAAUUGUCAAUGCUUUCCAAGUUCUUGGACUUCUCGGUCGUAAAUCGAAAGCAACAAGGAUUCCUGCAAAUUCUACUGCGUGCAGUUGCACAGCUGUUGUACAAUCAAUAAUAAACCAACUCCCAACUGGAAACAAGGUACAGGUCAUGUGACCACCCGAGAGUCCACUCAAUCAAUCUCCUCGGCCACGCAAGCUGGCUGAAAACAGAAAAUGCGAGAAGGCCAAAGUUACUACCUCGUGCCUGUCCAACUAUCCACUCGUGCCUUUCACCAGACAAAGAGAAUUGUAACCCCAAACGGAAAAGACGAGCUUAUGAAAAACGAGAAAGAUUAAGAGAUAUGUGGAACGCCUGUUAGAAGAGCUCUGGACCCUCUAUGUGAAUGCGGACCUAACAACUUCCUUUGCUGACGCCCAAGCACCACCACCUCUCAACACAAAACCAAGUAAAGACUUGGCUACUCUGGAUCAUUUUUCCAAGACUUUCAAAUCAAAGCUGUUGAAAUGAUAUGUUGUGAAAGUAAAAAAAAAAUCAUGAAUUUCAAGAAGCCGAUUUAAAAACUGUGUCCAGUUUGUUAAACUGAAACUAAAUUGUAACCUGAUGGAACUUCAGUGGCAGAAGUUUUAUGUUACGAACUUCUGACGCAUGCUGAUUAACCAUGUUGCGCAAUGCAAAAAAUUAACGCAUGACUCUGGUCCGUUCAAUAGUCAUUUUGUCAACUUGUGUGAACCUCUGUAAAUAUGACCUCCAUGGUGAAAGCAAGCUGAGGUGGCAUACUCUGGAUUUGAACUCUCCAGCUCCUAAUGACAUUUUAUGGAAUGAAACAGUACCAUAUUUAGCAUGUGCAUACACAAAUGUUUAUUGAAUGAUGGUUUCACUUUCAGUGGUUUGUUUAAAAAAAAAA